GAUCAUGGCUCAGGAUGAACGCUAGCGGCAGGCCUAAUACAUGCAAGUCGAACGCUCAGUAGCAAUACUGGGAGUGGCGCACGGGUGCGUAACGCGUACACAAUCUACCUCUAAGCGGGGGACACCUCCUGGAAACGGGGAUUAAUACCGCAUAAUAUGCCGAGGUCGCAUGACUUUGGUAUUAAAGCAGCAAUGCACUUAGAGAUGAGUGUGCGUCCCAUUAGGUAGUUGGUGAGGUAACGGCUCACCAAGCCUAUGAUGGGUAGCCGGUCUGAGAGGAUGGUCGGCCACACGGGCACUGAGACACGGGCCCGACUCCUACGGGAGGCAGCAGUAAGGAAUAUUGGUCAAUGGUGGAAACACUGAACCAGCCAUGCCGCGUGGAGGAAUAAGGUCCUACGGAUUGUAAACUCCUUUUGACGAGGAAGAAAGUGUUAGAUUUAUCUAAUUUUGACGGUACUCGUAGAAUAAGCACCGGCUAACUCCGUG
rnacentral:rRNA from 1 species